rnacentral:tRNA from 1 species
GGGCCCGUAGCUCAGUCAGGACAGAGCGCCGGGCUUUUAACCCGGAGGCCGCGGGUUCGAAUCCCGCCGGGCCCG